rnacentral:tRNA from 1 species
GCAUGGCUGGUUCAGUGGUAGAAUUUUCGCCUGCCAUGCAGGAGGCCUGGAUUCGAUUCCUGGUUCAUGUA